UACGGAGGGGGCGAGCGUUAUUCGGAAUUAUUGGGCGUAAAGGGCUCGUAGGCGGCCAACUAAGUCAGACGUGAAAUCCCUCAGCUUAACUGGGGAACUGCGUCUGAUACUGGAUGGCUUGGAUUCGGGAGAGGAAUGCGGAAUUCCAGGUGUAGCGGUGAAAUGCGUAGAUAUCUGGAGGAACACCGGUGGCGAAGGCGGCAUUCUGGACCGACAUUGACGCUGAGGAGCGAAAGCCAGGGGAGCAAAGCGGG
rnacentral:rRNA from 1 species